GGUGAACGCUGGCGGCAUGUUUAGGCAUGCAAGUCGAAUGCUGUCGCAAGACAGCAUGGCAAACGGGAGAGUAACACAUUGGUAACCUGCCUCUAUCUCGGGAAUAACCCGGAGAAAUCUGGAGUAAUACCCGAUAAUCAUGGGGGGACAAAAGUCAUUCCCAUGUAAAGAUUUAUUGGAUAGAGAGGGGCCUAUGUCUCAUCAGCUAGUUGGUAGGGUAACGGCCUACCAAGGCGACGACGAGUAGCGGGUGUGAGAGCAUGACCCGCCCCACUGGGACUGAGACACUGCCCAGACUCCUACGGGAGGCUGCAGUCGAGAAUCUUCCUCAAUGGACGAAAGUCUGAAGGAGCAAUGCCGCGUGAUCGAUGAAGCCCCUCGGGGUGUAAAGGUCCUUUAUCAGGGAAGAAUUUGUGACGGUACCUGAAGAAUAAGUCACUGCUAACUUCGUGCC
rnacentral:rRNA from 1 species